rnacentral:lncRNA from 1 species
GCCGGGGAGGGCCGGGGCAGACAGGCGAAUCAUGAGAAGGAGGCUCCUCUCUACCGGUGGAGAAGGAGCAGACCUCGAGAACCCUUCCUUAGUUCCUUUUACUGUCGGCGUCGUCCCGGUACAGAUCAGACAUAAUUUAAAUUCCCUUGCAUAGAAAUGCAUCAGGUUCAAUCUCCUUGAAUGAGGAAAAGUACAGGUGGUACAGUACACAGCAGCCUUGAUAGCCCUUGUGUAGAAAAAAAAUAAAGUCUCCCAUCUUCCAACAAAAUAUAAAUUGCAACCCUACAGUUUUGACAUGUGCAUCGACAUUAAUGUUUGACUUAACCAAGUAACUAGCAGCGCUACCCUUUCGGCGCAGGUCCAUUUAUUUGAUUUUUUGGAACAGUUUCGACACACUGCAUGAAUAUUUCACAUCACUAUGCUAGUUGAAUCGUGGAGUUGAUGUCAAUCAACAUAAGUGUUAUAUAUCAAAGUAAGUAAGCUGGCCAUUAAUAAAGCAUGGAGCUAAAGUAGAUCAAGUGGGCUACCUUAACGCCUUCUUGAUUCCAACAGAUCUUGUAUCCAUUUUGAGGCCAUCAAGUAAUGAAUCAAACUCCUACAGUUAUAGCGCAACGUCGAUCAUAAAAAAUGUAGAUGCGGGAUUCUAGUAAGUGCCAAAUCAUGAUUCUUUAUAGCUGCAAGUACCUCCAGCCAGCAAGCAUGCGCGCAGCCAAAUCAUGAAUCUUUAUCACCUGUACUUGCAAAA